rnacentral:tRNA from 1 species
GGGUAUAGCUCAGUGGCAGAGUGUGUGCCUAGCAUGAUGCGUAAUGUCUUGGGUUCAAUCCCCAGUACCGCCA